UCCUGCCUUUUUCUUCCAGGCAGGGGGUCUUCCAAAGCCAAUCCGCUAACACCAAGUAUGCCUUUUUUCAAAUGUUCAAAUUGUCAGCCUAUCAGCUCCGUC